AACAUACUCCCUCCGUUCGGAAUUACUUGUCUCAGAAAUGGAUGUAUCUAGAACUAAAAUACGUCUAGAUACAUCCAUUUCUGCGACAAGUAAUUCCGAACGGAGGGAGUAAUAU
rnacentral:pre_miRNA from 1 species